GUGCCAGCAGCCGCGGUAAUACGUAGGUGGCAAGCGUUGUCCGGAAUUACUGGGUGUAAAGGGAGCGCAGGCGGAACUGCAAGUUGGGUGUUUAAUCUACGGGCUCAACCCGUAUCAGCAUUCAAAACUGUGGUUCUUGAGUAAUGCAGAGGUAGGCGGAAUUCCCGGUGUAGCGGUGGAAUGCGUAGAUAUCGGGAGGAACACCAGUGGCGAAGGCGGCCUACUGGGCAUCAACUGACGCUGAGGCUCGAAAGCAUGGGUAGCAAACAGGAUUAGAUACCCUGGUAGUCCAUGCUGUAAACGAUGAUUACUAGGUGU
rnacentral:rRNA from 1 species